UACGGAGGGGGCCAGCGUUGUUCGGAAUCAUUGGGCGUAAAGGGCGCGUAGGCGGCUUUGUAAGUCCGUUGUGAAAUCCCUCGGCUCAACCGAGGAACUGCGACGGAUACUGCUUGGCUUGAGUCCCGGAGAGGGUAGCGGAAUUCCCAGUGUAGCAGUGAAAUGCGUAGAUAUGCGGAGGAACACCGAUGGCGAAGGCAAUCCCCUGGGCCUGCACUGACGCUCAUGCACGAAAGCGUGGGGAGCAAACAGG
rnacentral:rRNA from 1 species